GGCCCGCAAGGGCAACCGGCGAACGGGUGCGUAACACGUGAGCAACUUUCCGAUUUGUGGGGGAUAGCCGGCCCAACGGCCGGGUAAUACCGCAUACGCUCUUCGGGUGGAAUCACCUGAAGAGGAAACCUCCGGGGCAAAUCGAGGGGCUCGCGGCCUAUCAGCUAGUUGGUGCGGGUAACGGCCCACCAAGGCGAUGACGGGUAGCUGGUCUGAGAGGAUGGCCAGCCACAUUGGGACUGAGAAACGGCCCAAACUCCUACGGGAGGCAGCAGUGGGGAAUCUUGCGCAAUGGCCGAAAGGCUGACGCAGCGACGCCGCGUGUGGGAGGAAGCUCUUCGGGGUGUAAACCACUGUUGCCCGGGACGAACGUCGGGAUUUAUCCCGAUUGACGGUACCGGGUGAGGAAGCACCGGCUAACUCUGUGCCAGCAGCCGCGGUAAUACAGAGGGUGCGAGCGUUGUCCGGAAUCACUGGGCGUAAAGGGCGCGUAGGUGGCCUCUGUAAGGCCGUGGUGAAGGUCCGGGGCUCAACCCCGGAUCUGCCGCGG
rnacentral:rRNA from 1 species